CCGACCCCUGAGCCCCCCUUCAGGAACCGUUCGGAGCUCGAGACAUGUCGCGAUUGAGGAGAUACGAGGUGGCGCUGGAAGCGGAGGAGGAGAUCUACUGGGGCUGCUUCUACUUUUUUCCUUGGCUGCGAAUGUGGCGCAGGGAGCGGAGGUGAGGGGGCUGCGAUCUCGUGGGGGCAUGAACGAGGUUCAGUGUCGGUGGACGGAUGUGGGGGAGUCCAGGCGCCCCUGCCCCGCCUCAUGUCAUUGUCGGGUCGCCCUACAGCUCGGCGCACCCCCGGGAGCAGAAGCUGGAGCCUCUGCGGGGCCUAAUGAGCUGUUUGUCGAGCGGCCUGAGGCCUGCUCCCCAGCGCUCAGGUCGCGGUCUCCUCUGUCGCACCCCCACCGCUGCUGCACAGACAGCCGGUGCAUUAAAGAUUUAAAGUCACGCCCACUGCCUUCCUGACUUUACCGCCGCAGCCGCCACUGGUGCUGGGAAUCCCACUCCACACCUGCUGUUUCUUAGCCCACAGGGCAUCCCUCCCUGGUAGGAAGCCCUUGCAUGUCUAAGCCUCCAAUGUCCCUAAAGGUCAAGCUGCCAAUUACUAUCAGUGACUGGCUCCCUGCCACGCCCUCCCCAAAAGCACCCACACUGAGAGUGUAGGCCACAUCUGUCCACCACUUCCCAGUAUUCCCACAACUUCAGCUAUUACCAUCUUCCUCUAGCCGUGACUUUGCCUGAUGUCUGAAGAAUCUUUUCUUGGGAGUGGGUCUAAAACAUUUUAGCCAAAGUUGUAGAGUCAACUGUCAGUGAGAGGAAGGACCAGUUCCUAGAAGCUGCCUCCAGCAGUGUACCCUAGGAGAGUGACAAGGGUUGAGGAUCCAAGUUCCUUCCUAUAGUCCAAACCCCAAACUGGCUCCCCCAGUCUGAUCCCAAAUUUGUGUGUGUGUGUUUGUAUUUAAUUUUUAUCAUGUAUGUCUGUAAUGUGUGUGUGCCCAUAACAGUGCAUGUGCAUGCGGAGGUCAAAGGGACAGCUUGUGAGGGUCAGUUCUCUUUUUCUACCGUAUGGGUUCCAGGGAUGGGACUCAGGUUCUCGGGCUUGGCACCCUGGCCAUCACAGUUUUAAAAGUCCUUGUCAUCAGGGAGAACUUGCAGUUUGCUAAGAAUCCUGCUACCCCCCCCCCAUGUUUACCUUGCCCACCCAGAUCACUCUGGGAGUUAACCCUUAUA
rnacentral:lncRNA from 1 species